AGGGAGUUUGAUCCUGGCUCAGGAUUAGAUACCCUGGUAGUCCAUAAUUCGGCCUAGAGUUUGAUCCUGGCUCAGGAUGAACGCUAGCGGCAGGCUUAACACAUGCAAGUCGAGGGGCAGCGCGGGGUAGCAAUACUCUGGCGGCGACCGGCGGAAGGGUGCGUAACGCGUGAGCAACUUGCCCGCAUCAGGGGGAUAACCGAUGGAAACGUCGCCUAAUACCCCGUAACAACGGUGACCGCAUGAUUACCGUUUGAAAGCUCCGGCGGAUGCGGAUGGGCUCGCGUGACAUUAGCUAGUCGGCGGGGUAACGGCCCACCGAGGCGACGAUGUCUAGGGGUUCUGAGAGGAAGGUCCCCCACACUGGAACUGAGACACGGUCCAGACUCCUACGGGAGGCAGCAGUGAGGAAUAUUGGUCAAUGGCCGGAAGGCUGAACCAGCCAUGCCGCGUGCAGGAUGACGGCCCUAUGGGUUGUAAACUGCUUUUGUGGCGGAGCAAUAAGGAUUACGUGUAAUCCGAUGAGAGUACGUCACGAAUAAGCAUCGGCUAACUCCGUGCCAGCAGCCGCGGUAAUACGGAGGAUGCGAGCGUUAUCCGGAUUUAUUGGGUUUAAAGGGUGCGUAGGCGGGUCGCCAAGUCAGGGGUGAAAUCCCGGAGCCUAACUCCGGAACUGCCUUUGAUACUGGCGGUCUUGAAUUCGGAUGCCGUGGGAGGAAUGAGUAGUGUAGCGGUGAAAUGCAUAGAUAUUACUCAGAACACCGAUUGCGAAGGCAUCUCACGAAUCCGCGAUUGACGCUGAGGCACGAAAGCGUGGGGAUCAAACAGGAUUAGAUACCCUGGUAGUCCCCU
rnacentral:rRNA from 1 species